AUACGUAGGUGGCAAGCGUUGUCCGGAAUUAUUGGGCGUAAAGCGCGCGCAGGUGGUUCCUUAAGUCUGAUGUGAAAGCCCCCGGCUCAACCGGGGAGGGUCAUUGGAAACUGGGGAACUUGAGUGCAGCAGAGGAUAGUGGAAUUCCAAGUGUAGCGGUGAAAUGCGUAGAGAUUUGGAGGAACACCAGUGGCGAAGGCGACUGUCUGGUCUGUAACUGACACUGAGGCGCGAAAGCGUGGGGAGCAAACAGGAUUAGAUACCCUGGUAGUCCACGCCGUAAACGAUGAGUGCUAAGUGUUGGGGGGUUUCCGCCCCUCAGUGCUGCAGCUAACGCAUUAAGCACUCCGCCUGGGGAGUACGGUCGCAAGACUGAAACUCAAAUGAAUUGGCGGGG
rnacentral:rRNA from 1 species